GUAACUCCCCAACCCCUGUGACAUACCACUUGUUGCCUCGGCGGAUCAGCCCGCUCCCGGUAAAACGGGACGGCCCGCCAGAGGACCCCUAAACUCUGUUUCUAUAUGUAACUUCUGAGUAAAACCAUAAAUAAAUCAAAACUUUCAACAACGGAUCUCUUGGUUCUGGCAUCGAUGAAGAACGCAGCAAAAUGCGAUAAGUAAUGUGAAUUGCAGAAUUCAGUGAAUCAUCGAAUCUUUGAACGCACAUUGCGCCCGCCAGUAUUCUGGCGGGCAUGCCUGUUCGAGCGUCAUUUCAACCCUCAAGCACAGCUUGGUGUUGGGACUCGCGUUAAUUCGCGUUCCCCAAAUUGAUUGGCGGUCACGUCGAGCUUCCAUAGCGUAGUAGUAAAACCCUCGUUACUGGUAAUCGUCGCGGCCACGCCGUUAAACCCCAACUUCUGAAUGUUGACCUCGGAUCAGGUAGGAAUACCCGCUGAACUUAAGCAUAUCAAUAAGCGGAGGGAAAAGAAAAUUUUA
rnacentral:rRNA from 1 species